GACGAACGCUGGCGGCGUGCCUAAUACAUGCAAGUCGAGCGAAGUUUUUCUGGUGCUUGCACUAGAAAAACUUAGCGGCGAACGGGUGAGUAACACGUAAAGAACCUGCCUCAUAGACUGGGACAACUAUUGGAAACGAUAGCUAAUACCGGAUAACAGUAUUUCUCGCAUGAGAGAUAUUUAAAAGUUGGUUAUGCUAACACUAUGAGAUGGCUUUGCGGUGCAUUAGCUAGUUGGUGGGGUAAAGGCCCACCAAGGCGACGAUGCAUAGCCGACCUGAGAGGGUGAUCGGCCACACCGGGACUGAGACACGGCCCAGACUCCUACGGGAGGCAGCAGUAGGGAAUCUUCCGCAACGGGCGAAAGCCUGACGGAGCAACGCCGCGUGAGUGAAGAAGGAUUUCGGUUCGUAAAGCUCUGUUGUUAGGGAAGAAUGGAUAUGUAGUAACUAUACAUGUAAGAGACGGUACCUAACCAGAAAGCCACGGCUAACUACGUG
rnacentral:rRNA from 1 species